rnacentral:rRNA from 1 species
CCUACGGGUGGCAGCAGUGAGGAAUAUUGGUCAAUGGGCGCGAGCCUGAACCAGCCAAGUCGCGUGAGGGAGGACGGCCCUACGGGUUGUAAACCUCUUUUGCCGGGGAGCAACGGGCGUCACGUGUGGCGCCACUGAGAGUACCCGGAGAAAAAGCAUCGGCUAACUCCGUGCCAGCAGCCGCGGUAAUACGGAGGAUGCGAGCGUUAUCCGGAUUUAUUGGGUUUAAAGGGAGCGUAGGCGGGUUGUUAAGUCAGUUGUGAAAGUUUGCGGCUCAACCGUAAAAUUGCAGUUGAUACUGGCAUCCUUGAGUACAGUAGAGGUAGGCGGAAUUCGUGGUGUAGCGGUGAAAUGCUUAGAUAUCACGAAGAACUCCGAUUGCGAAGGCAGCCUGCUGGACUGUAACUGACGCUGAUGCUCGAAAGUGUGGGUAUCAAACAGGAUUAGAUACCCUAGUAGUC